CCCCACCUCCUAUCGAGGAUGCUUUAAC
rnacentral:piRNA from 1 species